rnacentral:rRNA from 1 species
CGUUACGGUGAAAAGUAGAACUGAUCUUGUACACACCGCCCGUCACGCCAUGAAAGCCGGUUAAGUAUGAAGUUUUCUUCUUUUUUAUUUUUUAUCUUGUGUAUAAGUAGCCCCAAAUACUUAUGCAUAUGUAUAACGUUUUUUAUCUAGUUUAUAAAUAAACAAUUAAUAUAAUAAAUUAUAUUAUAUUAAUCAAUUUUAUAAAAUUAUAGGUUCGGCUUCGAGCGAUAAACAAUAAAAAAAACUAUAACAAGGCGACGAAUAUUUAGUUGGUGAUUGAGGCGAAGUCGUAACACGGUAGCCGUAGGGGAACCUGUGGCUGGAUCUAAAAAUAGGUAGUAUAAUGGUAAUGCACAGGUCUGCAAAACCUGGAUAUAGUGGUUCAAAUCCACUCCUAAACUAACUAAAUUCGUAGCUUAAUGGU